rnacentral:rRNA from 1 species
CCUACGGGUGGCAGCAGUGAGGAAUAUUGGUCAAUGGGCGCGAGCCUGAACCAGCCAAGUAGCGUGAAGGAUGACUGCCCUACGGGUUGUAAACUUCUUUUAUAAAGGAAUAAAGUGAGGCACGUGUGCCUUUUUGUAUGUACUUUAUGAAUAAGGAUCGGCUAACUACGUGCCAGCAGCCGCGGUAAUACGGAGGAUCCGAUCGUUAUCCGGAUUUAUUGGGUGGAAAGGGAGCGUAGAUGGGUUGUUAAGUCAGUUGUGAAAGUUUGCGGCUCAACCGGAAAAUUGCAAUUGAUACUGGCAGCCUUGAGUACAGUGGAGGUAGGCGGAAUUCGUGGUGUAGCGGUGAAAUGCUUAGAUAUCACGAAGAACUCCGAUUGCGAAGGCAGCUUACUAAACUGCCACUGACAUUGAUGCACGAAAGUGUGGGUAUCAAACAGGAUUAGAUACCCUGGUAGUC